UUACAGGCUAUUUGUGAAAUUAUAUUAAUGCCUCACAUGAUGUAUUUUUAAUCAAUGUGUUUUUGCAAUGCAGCAAUGCAUUUUGUUUCUACACUACGUUUAUCAUUUUUAAAGCUAUUAAUAUAUUAUAUUAUAUUAUAGUAUAUUAUAGAAUAGAAUAGAACAGUAUAUCCUAUAUUCUCAUUCAAUUUAGGCCUACUAUCCACUAAAUAUAUCAAGUUUCAGGACUAGUUUCUAAUUUUAUGUACUAUUUAUGUAAACGCUGCGUAACUUGCAUGUGUUUAAUGGGCGCGUGCUUUGAACAUUCAAGGCACAUUUAAACUGGAGUGGAGGGAGUUACCAUGGAAACGGGGCUGCAACUCAGCUGACAAGUAGCAAAACUCCAUCUCUCACUGUUGUUUUUCCUGCUUUCAGAAUACUUUACAGAAAUGGUUCAGUGUCAUUGGAAAAAGUCUGUUAGCAUCACAAAUGUGAGCUAACUAUAGAGGCUAACUGUAAGAGGAGCAUCAGAAAAGAAAAAAAGAAAAAGAAAACACUCUAAUAGGAGCUGCUUACAGAGAUAUAGGAAACACAGCAGAGUUGGAGGAGACCUCUUGUUGAAGAACAUCUCCAAGACACUAUGAACCAUCUGAGUAGGCUGUUCGUGAAGACAUAAUCAAGAGAUGUUGUGACAACCUGGACAGAAUUCAGCUCUAGAUCCACCCUCCACACCAGACUUCUCACGCACAAGGAUUGCUGUCUACUAGCAUAUUGUGUCCUCUUCAGAGUGCAUGCAGAUAUUACUUGAUAUAAUGAAUACUUGAAUAUUACAAAAAUAGGGAAUGUAUCUUAUUUAAGAAUAUAAUGUUAAUUGCUUAAAUAUUAAAUAAAGCACUAAAAGCCAUUUCUACGGUGGCCCAGUAGUGCACAACACAACACAAUUUAAAAAAGCAAACAUAAGCUCACAACACAACGACAUUAAGCCACAACACAACGACAUUAAUCCACAACACAACGGAAAAUGCUCCCGACCACUAGGGGGCAGUUGGUCUGCAGAAACGGGCAAUGGACUCUAUGCACGGCACACAGCCUACGUAUUUCCGGUGAAAUCUCAGGGCGCAUAAAAGGUUCCGAUGCCGCAAUCUUUUGUCAAUGAACUAUUAAUAUAAAAUAAUAUUUAUACAUUUUAUUGCUACAAUAUAACAAAUUAGGUAUACCACAGUAACAUAAUUAUUUAAUGAAGAGUUCCAUGUCCCGUUUUGUGAGGUUUCUCAAAGGUUUUUCACACUUCUCCCCUGGAUGAAGAAACUCGCAAUAAGUGGAUUCAGAGUAGUAGAUAUAAGGAUUUUAACAUCACUUCUGAUACUUCAAGAAUGACGACAGCAUGCGGUUCUACACCAGAAGAAAUUCAUAAUGGUUUAGAAUGACAUGGGAGAGAAUAAGCUAAAACCCCAGAUUUGAGAUGUAGAACCAUUUAAUGGCCUUUUGGAGAGUUAUUGAACCUGCAUCCCGCAGCAUGGUAUGUGACCAGAGCAAGGACAGCUACAACUAGGAGUGAAGUUGGAGUAAACAAGCACCGCAAUGUGUCAGUCUCUGCAGCCCUUCGAUGAGUUCCUCCUCUUCAUGGUCCACCUUUCAGUCGGUCUUCCACAGAGAGAUCUGGCCUUACACAAAACACUUGGGAUGGAUUAAUUUGGUUUUAUUUGUCCAGAAUAGAAUAUAAAAUGUAAAUUAAAUAUAAUGUAAAUGCAAAUAUAUAUAACUUUAAUACGGUUUCUUGCUCACUAGUGUAAUCUAAACAUGUAAAUAUAAACACGUACAUUUUAGAAACUUUGAUACAGUGUAAUAGUUAUGUAAAAUACCAAUAACUGUGGUAGUGUAAUGUAUUUUUUUUUUUUACUUCUGCCACUUGAAGGACUGAUAGGUCAAUAGUUAUGUAAAAUACUAAUAACUGUGGUAGUGUAAUGUAUUUUUUUUUUUUUUUACUUCUGCCACUUGGAGGAUGGAUAGGACCUGGCUUGACUCUCUAUGCAUACCAAUGGGGCAUGUUAAUAUUAUUAAUCAAAGUUUAUUAAUUAUGUCAUUCAUUAAAUAUUUUGAUAAUUAUCUUACUUACCAUUGUUCUAGGUUUGGUGCCAGCUCUGCUCCAUUCAGUGCAGCUCUGUACAGGAGGAACUGCACUGAUUCUCAGUUCUGAAUAGUAUGCUGUCUGGUACAGUGCUGCAACAGU